rnacentral:lncRNA from 1 species
CAUCUGGUCCCCUCACUUCCCUGGGUCUCCUCCCUGAUCUCUUGCCCCUUCCCACUCUUCCCUUCUCCCUGAACCUCAAUCCACAUUUCCUGGGAGUCCAGGCGCUAUUGACUGCUCUCCUCCUUAUGUCAUGACUCCAUCCUGGUCCUUCUUUUUCCUCCUCCCUAGUUAGGUCCUCCAUCACAGUCCCAGAGGGAUCUCGGUGUCCAGCAUCCCCCGUGACCUCCACUCCCUACGCUGCAGCAGAACCUUGACUCCAAAUCCUACCCAAACUCUUCUUCUCCCCUGACAUGGCACACAUAGCCUUUCAAGACCUUUCCAGCUUUCUUUCACUUCCCAACACUCGCCUUGCCCCCUGCAUGCCCCAUUCCCCACCAACACAGCGAUCUUUCGCAUCCCCACCCCAUGUCCAUUCUGCUCUCUGUGCCCCAAAGGCUCUCUCACAACUUCUGUGCCCACCUGGUUACUGCUACUCACCUCUGAGAUUCUGAGCAGCAGGGUGUCUCCCAAGCCCCAAGUCUGACUUAGGUGACUUCUCUGCUUGCCUAACACUCACCCCCUCCUCCUGCCAAACCGCUCAGUACUGCUGUAUUGUGACAAUUGGUUCUGUGGCCACAACCCCCGCAGGGAUUAUGGCUAAUUUCUCUGUCCUAAGCACCAGGCACAGCAUCCUGCACACAGUAGAAUCUCAACAAAACAUGGAGCAAAUGAAUAAAUGAGUGAUUACAUGAAUGCUUCUCCCUCAUUAUCCUCCUUUCAGAGUCCUCGUGCGGGGUGUUUUCUCAUCAGUGGAUGGGGCCCUGCACCAUCUUUUGGGGGGCAGCAGGUGGGCCUAUAGGAAAACCCUUUACUACUCUGGGUUUCUUUCAUCCACAGGAAACCAAAAAUACCCAAGAGAAUCUCACUUCCCUUGACUUCUUUCUACCUCCAUCAUCUGAACAAUGACACCAGGACCCACUUCCACUGCUGCUUUCUUUUCUAGGCCUGGAGAGAUGGAGUGGGGUCAUCCAGGCAACAACCCUUUGGAACGCCCACUUGCUACUUCUCCAUUGCCCUCCGCUCCCUCCCCUCUCCUCUCUCUCUCUCUCUCUGGACCAGCUGCUGAGUGCUCAGCUUCUGGCUUGCAUGACAAGAAUCCCGUCAUCUGAGUCACUCCAAUUUCUGCCUGAUGACUGUAGAUCAUUUCAAACAUCCUCUGAGUUCAGUGCGCCAUGUCCAGCCGGGAGCACAUCACUAGAUCAUUAUGUAAUGGGCUUUCUGUGGUAGGCUAAUGCAGCGUUCACUCCAGAAGCCACAGAGCUUCCAAGUGCUCAGGAAGCGCCGGCUCUAUCAGGGACACCCAGAGGUGCACUCCCAGAAGACCUCAUGUGGCCUGGGAUCCCCUGCCUGGCUCAGAGCCACUGAUAUAACCGCAAGGACCUCAUCCAUCCCCUGGUCUCAACCACCCUCCUUUCCCAUUCAAGAUUCUUGUUCCCUUCAUAGGCUAUUAAUUGGAUUUUUACUUGUACUUAACCUAGAUUCUUCUGGCUGCAGUUGCCUUUUGUCUUCGUAUUUUUCUAACCUAGGCAUAAUCAGGUGCUAGAAAUGUACAUCCAUGGUUCCUCUCUUCCCUUCUUUCUGAGCCACACUGUGUGACCUGAUGUUACCCAGGGACCAUUUAGUUUUGAAGGAAUCGAUUCAUUCGCAUGUAUUACUGACUUACUACCCACCAAUCACCCCCGGGGACCUAUUCGAUCUGGAGAAGGGAGCAGAGAGUUCAAAACAUGCUUAACCCAGAGGCUUACAGCCCUCAUGGUGGAAUGGCAGACACUGACAUGCCCGAGAGCACUUGGAGUGAAGGGGGCCUGCAUCCGCUCUGCACCCAUGGUCACGUCAAGGUCUUAAAAUGUUAACAUCUGAAGGGAAAGGUGGGAUUAACUAGCCCCUCAUCAUCUUGCUGCAGAUGAAGAACCUGAGGCCCAAAAAGGCAUUCACUUGGGUACAGGCAGAGUCGGCAUUAAAACUCAGUCUUCUGUUUCCUACUCCAGAGCUCUUUCUUUUAUAAUAAUUAUUUGGCUUUCUUGAGCACAUAUGACAUGCAAAGUAUUAUCCUUGACUGUUUAAAAGAAUGUUUCAGGAGCUCCUGUGGUGGCUCAGCAGUAACAAACCCAACCAGGAUCCAUGAGGAUUCAGGUUCAAUCCCUUGGCCCUGCUCUGUGGGUGAAGGAUCUGGCAUUGCUCUGGCUCUGGCGUAGGCCAGCAGCUGCAGCUCCGAUUUGACCCCUAGCCUGGGAACCUCCAUAUGCUGUGGAGCGGCCCUCAAAUUUCAAAGAGAGAGUGUUUUAACUUAUUGAAUCUUGACAAUCUUCUGAGGAAGGAGCUGGUAUUAUCCCCAUUUGACUGAAGAGGCAACUGAGGCCCAGAGAGGUACAGUUAAUCUGUCAAGGACACAAGCUGGGAGGUGGCCGGGCCACCACUCUUACCCCUACACUCUCCUCACACAGCCUCCUCAACUGUAUUUCAGGGACUCCUUUGAAGCCCUGUUGUGGCAUCAUUUUCCACCACUUUCCAUUCUUUCUCAGGCAUCUGUGCCUUCUCACGACUAAAAAUGCAUCCCACAUUCCCCACCCCACCCCUGCAUUAAAGGCCACCAAGACCUCAUAGAAAACUCUCGUUUUCUCUGAGGAGAAACAGAGGAGGUGCCACCGUUCACUGACAGACCCGCCUGCCUGCACCCCUCUCCUGGGGCUGGUUGUCACCAGGGCUGUUAUUAAAGCCAGAAAUAGGAUCCUGAGCUCUUUAGUCCUCCCCCAGACUUCUCACCCAGGAAGUUCCCACAUGUCUGUGAUAUCACAGCACUAACCCCCCCAGAAUGACGUCAUCCACACACCCCUGCACCUGCUCUUCCCCAAGUUCCCACCUGCCCAGGCAGGAGACACAGACUCCAUCACAGCCCUAGAGAAAUUUUUAUCAUGAGACACGUGAGAAAUAAAAUCUUUCCCAGAGUUCCCCUCGUGUUACAGAGGAAACAAAUCGAAUUAGGAACCAUGAGGUUGAGGGUUUGAUCCUUGGCCUCGCUCAGUGGGUUGAGAAUAUGGUGUUGCCAUGAGCUGCGGUGUAGAUCACAAAUGUGGCUUAGAUCUGGCGUUGCUGUGGCUGUGGUGCAGGCCGGCAGCUGUAGCUCUGAUUUGACCUCUAGGCUGGGAACAUCCAUGUGCCUCAGGUGCAGUU